rnacentral:rRNA from 1 species
GGGGCGCCGGGAAAGCCCUGACGGCGAGGGAUGGGCCCGCGGCCUGUUAGCUUGUUGGCGGGGUAACGGCCCACCAAGGCGAUUAUGGGUAGCCGGGUUGAGAGACCGACCGGCCAGAUUGGGACUGAGACACGGCCCAGACUCCUACGGGAGGCAGCAGUGGGGAAUCUUGCACAAUGGGCGAAAGCCUGAUGCAGCGACGCCGCGUGCGGGACGAAGGCCUUCGGGUUGUAAACCGCUUUCAGCAGGGACGAGGCCGCAAGGUGACGGUACCUGCAGAAGAAGCCCCGGCUAACUACGUGCCAGCAGCCGCGGUAAUACGUAGGGGGCGAGCGUUAUCCGGAUUCAUUGGGCGUAAAGCGCGCGUAGGCGGCCUGCUAGGUCGGGACUCAAAUCCGGGGGCUCAACCCCCGCCCGGUCCCGAUACCGACAGGCUUGAGUCUGGUAGGGGAAGGCGGAAUUCCAAGUGUAGCGGUGGAAUGCGCAGAUAUUUGGAAGAACACCGGUGGCGAAGGCGGCCUUCUGGGCCACGACUGACGCUGAGGCGCGAAAGCUAGGGGAGCGAACAGGAUUAGAUACC